GUAGGCCUCAAGUGAUGUGUGACAACCCCCUGA
rnacentral:rRNA from 1 species